AAUGUCACCGGGUGACUAAUCCGAGCGGAACUUUUCUUUUCUCCGGGCGGAACUAAAGUGUGGGAAAUAUUUCCGCCCGGACUAAUUUAAGUGAAACACGAGUUCGGUUCCGGUUGGCCCAAGGCAGGGAAUUAUCCAAGAUACACGUCAGGUGUGGGAAGAGGACGUGUCGGAUAUCGAUUGGAGGAUCGGGAAGGAAGCAGAGAUAUAAAAGGGGUUGGUUUAUGAACAGCUGAACAGGAGUUUGUUUUGCGGUGUUCCACACGAUACGGAAGUGGCUGGUGUGGCGUGGAUGUUGUGAUUUACGGGCUGCAACGGAGAACCCAAGGAAAAGGGAGAUUGGAAGUGCGGAGGAAGUUAAGUGAUCAACCUUUUGUAUGUUGUGUUUACAUCUUAUUGUGGAUUGAGUUGAAGGAGCGAUCCUAUGUUUGGAAGGCCCCUGAGUGAAGGAGAUCAUUGAACUCGUAUUGGGAGAGGAUAACACUGUGUACUGGUGGGUGAAGACUGUAUGAACAUUCCUUGUAUAUUGUGGAUAGUGGAUGACGGAUGUGGAGGGAGAUUAACUGCCUUUAAGAAAGGGUUCCGACUGCAUAUUUCUCCGUAGCAGUGGGUAAUUCACCCCCCCCCCUCUCUUGUGCUGAUCUAAUAAUCCUCAGUGUUUGUGUGUUUACUCAGUGUUGAUAGUGGUGCCUUGUGUUGGAGAUCGCUGGGAAGGUCGGAGAGGCUCCGGUGUACGAUAUAUACGCCUGCUGUGGUUUGCCCCCUGCCUAUGUCCAUCUGACACGCCCCGCCAGGACUCUGAGCCCGAAACGGGACUACACCACGGAUCUUCUUUCACUGAGUGUGUGGAGUGCGGUGAGUGCUGCUGUAUUGAAGUGUACACACGAGAAGAAUUGUAGUGCCUUUGUGGUGUGUGGUGUUUGUCUGUGGCUGUGUCCCCGGUCGUAGGAAGAGGCCUGACAGAGAGGAGCAGUGUAUUGGUGGCAACCACAGCCUUUCCUUUAAGUAAGCUGGAGCUUGGACGUGUUGGAGGCGCCUCUGGAGGAGGUUGGAUGACGUCGCCCACACAGCGAUCUCUGUAAGCUUUCAAAUCAAAGCCUUACCUUUUCAUCCACGUGACGUUGUGUCAUUGGCCUUGUUAGCAACCACCGGCCUUGUGCGUGUCGUCUGUGCUGUCUCUUCGACGAGGGAAGCGAAGGACAGCAGCCGAUCCUCCCCCGUGUGUCCCCUUGCCAAGCUGGGUGGGAAGCCCAGUGUUGUUCGCAGUUUCACCUGUAAGGCCCACCAGCCGUCAGUCAUCGACCAAAACCCGUAUCCGCUGGGAACACCGACCUCUGAAUAUCUUCAGUGAGCCAGAAAAUCCCUGUACAUCAACUGCCUGGCUCUUGCCUUACACUUACCUGGAGUGGAGUCGGCUGGAAAUUGAGGGCUGAAGUGGAGUGUGCCGAGCAAGGG
ensembl:lncRNA